GCCAGGCAUGGUGACUCAUGCCUGUAAUCCCAGCACUUUGGGAGGCUGAGGCAGGAGGAUUACUUGAGCCCAGGAAUUUGGCCUGGGCGACAUAGCAAGACCUUGUCUCUU
ensembl:misc_RNA Metazoa_SRP Metazoan signal recognition particle RNA